ACACACACACACACUCUCUCUCUCUCACUCUCCCCCCUCUCUCUGUUUGUCCCUCUUUCAAUUUGUUUUGCCUAUUUCUAUUUGCAUUCUUCAUUCUUUCAAUAUGGCAUCUUCAGGUUUCGACCAGUUAUGUCAGGAAGCUGCAACUAUUUCAAAGCAUCUUGAAAUGAAAGCUGACAAUGCUGAACUUGAAACAGCUACCAGAGAGGCUGAAGAAAUUCUACAAAUGUUUAAUCCUCCACUGCUGAAAAAGAAGACCAAACGGGCGAUUUCCUGGACUCAACAGACACAGUGAACUUUGCACUGCAUUUCAAAGCCAGCUUCUCAGCCGCAACACCGAGAACCAGAGUUGAAGUCAAUGUACUGCUGAGAAAAGUGCAAGAUCUGUUUAACCAAAAAUAUAAGGAUGCCAGAGGUACCGGAAGGCUCCCCUACCAAUCCCUGGUAAAUCAAGGCAUGACAGUUAAAGUUGCAGGACUGCCCAACUUCUCAAAAAGCCAUCCUAUUAUGGAAGGAACCAGUUGGAGGCCAUUUUGAAAGCUGCUGAGGAGAUUUCAUUUGAAAUCAAUGCAGCACAAUGCAACUCCACUGACAAAGCAGAAGGAAUGUCAGAGGCGAUGGACGCAGAAGAGCUGGAAGAAAAGUCCUCAGAAACAGCCACUACUGUAGCUAUCGUGAUGACUGCAGAUUAAGAUGGAGGCCAUUUGUGCUGUGUCUGCCGCUUCCUUUUCGAUGACAGGAAGAAGAAUGCUUCAAAGAAGUGGCGUUCAUGGUCACAGUGUGCCAUUCAUGGUCACACCCUGCAUGUCAAGACACCAUGCAAACAGCCUGUAGCGCUGCAUCAGUGAUAGGAAAUAUGCUAGUUACACAAGAUGUUUUAUGUUUUAACUUUGAGUUGUUUUUACUUUGUUCAUGACCCCAUCCCUACAAACACACACACAUAUUUUUUUUAUUUUUAUGUAUUAGGUGCAAUUUAAUUUUUUUCAUGCAAAUGUAUUGUAAUGAUUACACUUAUAAGAAUAAAACAGAUUUUUAAUUCACUCUAA